UACGGAAGGUGCAAGCGUUAAUCGGAAUCACUGGGCGUAAAGCGCACGUAGGCGGUGCGGUCAGUCAGAUGUGAAAGCCCUCGGCUCAACCGGGGAACUGCAUUUGAUACUGCCGUACUUGAGUACUGGAGAGGCAGGCGGAAUUCCAGGUGUAGGAGUGAAAUCCGUAGAUAUCUGGAGGAACACCGGUGGCGAAGGCGGCCUGCUGGACAGAUACUGACGCUGAGGUGCGAAAGCGUGGGGAGCAAACAGG
rnacentral:rRNA from 1 species